AUGGCAGCAAAACAGAACAGACAGGAGAGGACUGCAGUGGACCUCAGUUUACACCACUUCAAUCUGCUGCCAUCUAGCAGAAGGGACCUGCCCAUCAGGACACCUUCAGUACCAACCAUGUUGCAUAUAGCUCUGUUGGUUCUGCUGGCUGCUGCUUCCAGUGUCAUGGGUGAAACGUUGACCCAGCCGGCAUCUCGGACUCUCCAGCCUGGUGAAGUGUUAAAUAUUGACUGUCAGGUGUCUUAUUCCUUGGGCAGCUACUACACUGCGUGGGUCAGGCAGCCUCCAGGGAAAGGACUAGAAUGGAUCGGGAGCAGAGCCACUGGAGGCUAUUCCCGCAAGGACUCCCUGAAAAACCAGUUUAGUAUUGAACUAAACCCCUCCAGCCAAACAGUAACCCUAAAUGGACAAAGUAUGCAGCCUAAAGACUCUGGCAUGUAUUACUGUGCAAGAGACACACAACAAUAA